rnacentral:rRNA from 1 species
AUGGCAAAAAGCACUCUCGCCGCCGUCUCGGAUCUCGCCGGCGUCAUGUCGCCGGUGGGGUUUGACUUGACCGACCUGGAGUUUGACCCCCCCAGGGUCACUGACGUGUGGGCCCUGUCGGCCAGAUGGUUAGGUUAG